UUAAGAACAACAAUGAAUGAAGACAAUCGAUUUAUAACUUAUUUAUGUCAAGCUCACGGAUCUAACACCCUAACACCCUAGACUAAGCAAGCUGACUACUCAGCCAUGGAGCAAGAAAACACAGAGACAGAGACUGAAUAAAACAUGUGUAGAUAAAAUAGAAUAAGGGUUCAAGGGGUUCUUCUCUAUGGUGAGAGAGAUGGAGCCUUCUCCCUUUACAAAGUAU
rnacentral:lncRNA from 1 species